AGUGCUUGGAUUGUGUUUGUCGUCUACACACGUGCGAAGCCAGUCAAAAUUUCAGUCCUGUGUUUAAAACAUCAUGCGACACGCUAAAAGACUAGGGAAGAAAUAUUUAAAAAAAAAGAGAGAAGCCGGAAAGGCUCGCUCGGCCAGAAUUAAAAGUGAUCCUAUUAAAUUAACGGAAUACAAAAAAAAAACAAAAAUUUCAGUUCUUAAGGAAAAAAGAGAAAGGACAAAGAAAAAAUGUUAAAAGACAUGACACCACGAGAGCAACGAAUAACUAGAAAAAAAAUGGAAAAAAUAUUCAUAUAAUUACAGGCAAAGAAAACAGCUAUUGAAACCAACCACUAAUAAUUUUAUAUGCCAGAAAACUCCUCCACCAACUGACGACGAAAUACGACCCAUAGUUAAUCAAGCAAUCAGACCUGUUAUUAACGAAGACCAAAGAGCAAAAGAAGCCAAAAGGAGAAGUGAAAGACAGAGAAAAUCUUGAAACAGGGCAAUAAAAAAGAUGGAGGCUAUAGUUUCAAAGCUUAAAGCUAAACUAAAUACUCAGCGUCAAAAAUGUACGAGUCAAAAAACAGCUAAAUUACUAUUACUAAAAAAGUAAUAAAUUCUGUCAAAAACGCCAAAGAUCGGAAUUGAAGACAUGAGAGACAAAUAUUUCAUAAAUAAAACAAAAUAUCAUUAUACAUCACAAUGGCACUCUGUUCAAAAUGGAUGAAAAAGACGUAUCAAAUGUUCCCGUGGAUCAAAUAAUAAUAAAAUAAUAGAAAAUACCCGUACCAAACCUCAUUACAAAAGGGAUGAGGGUUUUUUACCAAUUUAAGGAAUAAAAUGAUGUUUUCGAAAAUAUACAUGUUUCCAUUGUUUGUUGAUUACUUGAAAUUUUAAGUAAAACUAAGUAAAAUUAGUAAAAGCUAAGUGAAUAACGUUACGUUAAAUGUCAAAAGGCUGUAUUGAAAAUUGAGAUAGUAUUUUCUCCCAGUAUUACAUAUAAUAUUAAUAAUUAUUUUUAAUUGUUACUAAGUGAUUAUAAUACUUAAAAGACAUGUGCCAUUAUUAUUAAAAAUAAGAGAUUUGUACUAAUUUUUAUUAAAUUUCAUUAUAAUUCUUACAAAA